rnacentral:rRNA from 1 species
GACGAACGCUGGCGGCGUGCUUAACACAUGCAAGUCGAACGGAAAGGCCCUGCUUUUGUGGGGUGCUCGAGUGGCGAACGGGUGAGUAACACGUGAGUAACCUGCCCUUGACUUUGGGAUAACUUCAGGAAACUGGGGCUAAUACCGGAUAGGAGCUCCUGCUGCAUGGUGGGGGUUGGAAAGUUUCGGCGGUUGGGGAUGGACUCGCGGCUUAUCAGCUUGUUGGUGGGGUAGUGGCUUACCAAGGCUUUGACGGGUAGCCGGCCUGGGAGGGUAACCGGCCACAUUGGGACUGAGAUACGGCCCAGACUCCUACGGGAGGCAGCAGUGGGGAAUAUUGCACAGUGGGCGGAAGCCUGAUGCAGCAACGCCGCGUGCGGGAUGACGGCCUUCGGGUUGUAAACCGCUUUCGCCUGUGACGAAGCGUGAGUGACGGUAAUGGGUAAAGAAGCACCGGCUAACUACGUG